rnacentral:rRNA from 1 species
AUUGAACGCUGGCGGCAUGCCUUACACAUGCAAGUCGAACGGCAGCACGGGAGCAAUCCUGGUGGCGAGUGGCGAACGGGUGAGUAAUAUAUCGGAACGUGCCCAGUCGUGGGGGAUAACGUAGCGAAAGCUACGCUAAUACCGCAUACGAUCUAUGGAUGAAAGCGGGGGAUCGCAAGACCUCGCGCGAUUGGAGCGGCCGAUAUCAGAUUAGGUAGUUGGUGAGGUAAAGGCUCACCAAGCCGACGAUCUGUAGCUGGUCUGAGAGGACGACCAGCCACACUGGGACUGAGACACGGCCCCAGACUCCUACGGGAGGCAGCAGUGGGGAAUUUUUGGGACAAUGGGCGCAAGCCUGAUCCAGCAAUGCCGCGUGCAGGAUGAAGGCC